UACGUAGGGUGCGAGCGUUGUCCGGAAUUAUUGGGCGUAAAGGGCUCGUAGGCGGUCUGUCGCGUCGGGAGUGAAAACUCAGGGCUUAACCCUGAGCCUGCUUCCGAUACGGGCAGACUAGAGGUAUGCAGGGGAGAACGGAAUUCCUGGUGUAGCGGUGAAAUGCGCAGAUAUCAGGAGGAACACCGGUGGCGAAGGCGGUUCUCUGGGCAUUACCUGACACUGAGGAGCGAAAGCGUGGGGAGCGAACAGG
rnacentral:rRNA from 1 species